rnacentral:lncRNA from 1 species
GAGUGCCUCAGCAAUGGUCAAGAUUGUACCAUUGGACAACAUUAUAAGUGCCUUACCGUAUCCUUCGAUCAGGUUGGAUGGGCCUGAGAGGGUUGUCAGAGGUGCAUUCUUAGGUACGAAGUUAGUGAAAUAGAUGCGUUCAUGCAAAACAGUAUGCGUGGUUGCACUAUCUGCCAGACAACUAACUUUCCCACUAGUCAUACCUAGAAUGAAAAAUUAAUUUGAAUCGAUCACAUGCAUAAAAGUUUAUAAAAACAAGUAUCAAUUCAAAAUAAUUUCAUUUAUUCAAGGAAAAAAAUUAAUAUCCAAAAUAAAUCGCCAACUAAUAAUCCAAAACAUAAAGGAAAAUUGUUCAAAAUCAACCAAAAAA